ACAUAUUUACAUCUUGGUGACACAUGACUACAUAGUAGCAAAAGAUACUUUGUAGUUGCUGGUAUGAUAUUUAUUGAAUGGAGUGAUCAUGGAGUAUUGGUAGCAUCGCGGUCAUCCAAAUUACAGCUUAAACCAAGCUCCUUGCUUCUACAAUAGAGAAUUUGAGUUUUGUAAGACUAAAUGGUACAAAAUAAGAUAUUACUUUACUCGUAUGUAAGAAAAAAUGUGUUUUGGUGCUUAUUGACAAAUUGUAAGCAUGAUAGUGUGAUUUUUUAUUGGAGCAGUUUUUGGAAGUAUUAAUGCAUUAGAAAAAUAAUAGUUGUUUAGUAAGGAGGGACAAUAAGAUAUAUAGUUAUGUAAUAGAAGGAAAUCUGGUUUGCAAAAAAUAAUAAAUAACUGAUGUAUGUCUCUUAUGUGUUUCGUACUGCUUUAUUACUUCGUGUUGCUGUAUUCCAACGGUGAGCACAGGUAGAAGCAAAGGUAAAGUUCUAGAAAGUAUAUAAUCAAAACUCCACAUCAACCAUGAACAAAAAAUUAGCCGAUAAAUAUUCUUUUAUUUCUGGAUGAAAUCAUAUAACUGAUUAUUAAGAGCUAGACAUUCUCUUUACACAUAUUCACAAUGAAACUAAUAAUAAGAUGCAACCCUGACCCAUAAUUAAAUAAGCAAGAAACAUCGCAAGGUAAUUAUACCUGUGAUUCAUAUCAACCAUUAACUUACCAAGUUUUACCAUAAUUUACUGGAGCUACACUAUCACAAAUUUAGCACCCAUUUAUUUAGGUCAACAAUUAGGCCAUCAUAUGUGAUACAUAAGACAUGUUUUAGCGAAUAUCCAGGAUGGCACUAUUAAACAUCUCUCUAAACAAUAAAGCAAAGCGAACACAUCUAAGAACGAUUUAUAAUCUGGAAUGCAGAGUAUGCAACAUACUCAUGGAUUUAUGAACUGACGCAUACAAAUUAAAAUUUAUGAAUUUUUAAAAGUAUGGUAAUUCUAUGUUUAUAUUAAUGUAACUAUGGAUUCGCAUGGAAAAGCAUUGUUGUAGAGUGUUGUAAAUGCUUUUAUUGUUCUAGUAUUAUCUACUUUACUUUUUUAUUAGUACUUAGGUAAUUUAAAGAUGUUUGAUUGUUUUGAAUGGCAUUAGCUAGAGUUGGAGAAGCAAACCUUUUUGAAGGAGAUUCAACAGUAGCAAUUUUAGGAAUAGAGUCAACUAAACUGGUUGUUUCGUCUAUUAAGUAAAGAUGAAUGUAUGUAUCAAUGUUUUAUUUAGAUAAAUUCAUUUUAAUAGUAUCAUCUAAGCUUUUGUUAGAGAAUUACCUAUGGCGCUUUUUGUUCUAAGAAGUCAUCCUUUUUCGAAGCAGAGGUCUCUGAGCUAAGAUAUGUUAGCACCGGUUUGGCCUGUGUGUAGCAAUGGUAAUGUAUUAGAGUAAAGAAAGCAAAAAAUGGGAAAAUAUAAAAAAUAAGACUAAAAGCGGUUUUUUCAUCUAAAAUAUAACUAUGCACAUUAUACAUUACAUGAGGUGGUGAGCUAGUCGUCAGAUUUAAAAAAAUGAAUAAUCAUGCAAAGAAGAGAAACGUAAUAGUAGCAACAAUGGAGGAAAAUACAAAAAUCAGAGCACACCAUUAGAAAGGCAGAAAGGAAUGUGUAAUAAAAUGAACCUUGUUGGAGCAGCAUUUUCCCCCCAAGCAUAUAUGUAGAAGUUAAUGAAGCCCAUCUUUCCGAACCAAAGAUUAGGAUGUGCUGUCAAAUUUUAAAAUUAUAACAAAUUAGCAGAGAAUCAUAAUAAUUGAAUAUUGAUGCAAACAAUAACUAUAUAAUAGUACCACUAAUGGAGGAAAAAAUAGUAAGAUUGGAGCACACCGUUAUGAAAACUCAAAAAGGAAUGUGUAAUGAGAUGUACCUUGGUCAAUAGUUUUUUUCCUGUGGAAAUAUGUAGAAGCUGACAAAGCCCGUGUUUCCAAACCAAAGAUUAGUAUUUACUGUCAAAUAAAAAUUAACAAAAUAGUAAACAGUCAAUGCACUGACGUUUAUGUGCUAAACUAAUAAGGUACUAUAGAUACUAAAUGAUCGUCGUGUUUAGAGGUAAUGUAGCAAUUUAUGAACCAUUUUUUUUUAAAAAAUGAAUAGUCUUGCAAAGAAGAGAAACGUAAUAGUAGCAACAAUGGAGAAAAAUACUAAAAUCAGAGCACACCAUUAGAAAGGCAGAAAGGAAUGUGUAAUAAAAUGAACCUUGUUGGAGCAGCAUUUUUCCCCCAAGCAGAUAUGUAGAAGUUAAUGAAGCCCGUCUUUCCGAACCAAAGAUUAGGAUUUGCUGUCAAAUUUUAAAAUUAUAACAAAUUAGCAGAGAAUCAUAAUAAUUGAAUAUUGAUGCAAACAAUAACUAUAUAAUAGUACCACUAAUGGAGGAAAAAAUAGUAAGAUUGGAGCACACUGUUAUGAAAAGCCAAAAAGGAAUGUGUAAUGAGAUGUACCUUGGUUAAUUAGUUUUUUUCCUGUGGACAUAUGUAGAAGCUGACAAAGCCCGUGUUUCCAAACCAAA
rnacentral:lncRNA from 1 species